AUUAGGAGGUGGAAACAUAAAUGCUGGGGAAGGAAGAAGCGCAAAUGACAUUGCAACCAUGAUGAACCUUGCUGGUCUUCAUGGAAAUGGUGCUAGUAUUGCUAAUUCAGCUGCUGCUGCCUCUUCUUUAGGAGGCAAUCCCAAUGGCUUAGGAGGGUUUCAACAACUUCAAUCUAAUAUGGGGUAUCAAGGAUCAUCUGCAGGAGGCCUCCCUAGUGGUGGAUAUGCAACAGGGCAACAUCCAUCAUCUAUGCUGAUGAA
rnacentral:misc_RNA from 1 species